rnacentral:lncRNA from 1 species
UGGGGGGUAGGUGCAGCUCAAUGGUAAAGUACCUCUGGGUUCAAUCCUCAGUGCAAAAAAAAAAAAAAUUAUAUAAUUACCAUUUCAAUUAAAUCACACAAAUAUCAAUCUUAUCAAUCUUCCAUCUCUUCCAUAAACCAGGAAUUCUUAAACACACACCCAAACCAAUGCAUAACAAGUUCACAAGUUUGAAGACUCUCUAGUACUUUUGAGAAAGGGGUCUCAGUUUGAUUUGAUUAAUAUCAGAUGCGUGUCUUCAAGAAAUUUAUUUAGCUACUAACAUAAAUUAUGAAAUAUGUUUCCCAGAAAGCAAAGUGAAUAUUAAUUAAGCUAGACACACAAAACUAUUUAGGAUAGUUAGGCCAAGAAUCCUGGUCCUCUGGGAAAGGUGUGAAAGAAACAUUAAUGUAGAAAUUAGGAAUGUUUCUUCUAUAUUCCUUAAUCUUGGUGUUGAACAAACACCUACCAGAACACAAUCCUAUUAAUUUCUUGGCUAGCUCUUUGAGCCCUCCAUCCAAUUUCCAUCAAUACACUAAUAGCUGCAGGAUUUUAGUAAGCACAUGCUUCUUAAUGGAAAUGCCACAGAUCCAAGGCAAGGAUCAUGUUCUCCUUCCUUCCCCACUGCAUUAUGCACAUUUAUUGCUGAUCAAAUCAAUAGGAAGUUUCUUUUAAAAUUUUGAGAUGCUAGUUAUCUUUAAGGAAUAGUUUGUGUACAAACACACAUAUACACAUGUAUAGUCCAUAGACCAGAAAAAGGAUAAGAUCUCAAUAGAUACAGAAAUAAUUUUACCAUUUUAGCAAAAAGGAUCAUUUCCCAAUACUUGUUUUAAAAUCACUUUUUAUUUCAAAAGUGAUAGGGACAUGGACUCCACUUAUAGGAAGAUGGAAUAGACAUAUUCUUCCCUACUCCUCCCAUGCAGUACAACUAAAAUCCCUGGGUAUUAAGACAUAAAAUAUAAGACAACUCUCCAAGGUAUAGAGAAGGUGUACUAAGGACCUCAAAACCCAAGGAAGAAAAUGGUGGUGAGGUCCAUAAAUUUUCCUUUUCCCCUGUAUGUACCAGGCUUAGAAAUGAAAAAGCCAACUAUCAAUGAACCCCACUGGACAAAUACCAAUAAAAGACACCCAAAAGCCUGCUCUCCCUGGCCUAAGAAUGAUAAAAGAAACAGCUUACGAAGACAGGAAACUUUUAAACAGCAGCUGUUUUACUCCAACAAAAUACCACACACCAAAUAAAAAAACCACCACCCCCCUACUAGCAAAAGUUAAGUGGGGAGUCUAGACUUCCACCCCAUCCUGCUGGGAGGUGUGUAUAAGAGAACACAAAAUUUUCAUCAACACAGAGCAGUAUCAAGGUCAGUGGAGACCUUGUGGGGAGUGUGGAUACCCAUCAACACGUGGAAAUAAUGACCCUACCUCCCCUUGCCACUACCACAUCUCUGCUGCAAUGGCACCAGAGAAGACCAAAUGUAGAGUUAGGACUUUUAUUGUCCAGUGGUAAUGAGAACACCCUCAUGAGUAUGACAGUGAAGACUGUGUGGGAAGUUGGGAAUUGCACACCUUCCCGGCACUUCUUGGAUAUUAACAGAAGUCAAAUGGAGACUGGACUUGCACUCCCAUCAGGAAGAUUGCUCCUGUCAUUCCCACGACACCCACACUAGAAUAGUAUCAAACGUGAGCAAGCUUAAACAAAUUAGUCAGUUUUCCAUUGCUGUAGCACAUACCUGAGAAAAACAACUUAGAGGAGGAAAGAUUUAUUUUGGCUCGUGGUUUCAGAGGUUUCUGUUCAUGGUCAGCUGGCUCCAUUGCUUUGGGCCUGAGGUGAGGCAGAACAACAUGGCACAAAGGCAUAGCAGAGGAAAGCUGUUCACCUCAUGGAAUCCAGGAAGUGAAGAGCAAGAGGGGCUGGGGACAUGAUAUUGUCUCCACAGGCGUGUACCCAAGGACUUUGCCCCUUCAACUAGGUCCUAUCUCCUACAGUUUCCACCAUCUCCCAAAAUGCCAAUGAACUAUCAAUCCACAGUGGAUCAACCCACUGCUGAGGUCAGAGCCCUCAUGAUCCAAUCACUUCCCAAAGUCCUACCUCAGAGCAUUGCUGCACUGGGACCAAGCCUUCAUUCAACACGUUAGCCUUUGGGGGAUGUUCCAAAUCUAAGCUAUAAAAUCCC